UACAGAGGGUGCAAGCGUUAAUCGGAGUUACUGGGCGUAAAGGGUGCGUAGGCGGGUUGGUAAGUCCGUGGUGAAAUCUCCGAGCUUAACUCGGAAACUGCCGUGGAUACUAUCAAUCUUGAAUGUCGUGGAGGUAAGCGGAAUAUGUCAUGUAGCGGUGAAAUGCUUAGAUAUGACAUAGAACACCAAUUGCGUAGGCAGCUUACUACACGAUUAUUGACGCUGAGGCACGAAAGCGUGGGGAGCAAACAGGG
rnacentral:rRNA from 1 species